rnacentral:pre_miRNA from 1 species
UUAACUCAAAUUUGUAUGGAGUCGUUUGCCUACGUUUGCCGCUAAGGUUGCUGUUCUAACCGCAUACAAAUUUGAGUUA